CACGCCGUAAACGAUGAGUGCUAAGUGUUGGAGGGUUUCCGCCCUUCAGUGCUGCAGCUAACGCAUUAAGCACUCCGCCUGGGGAGUACGGUCGCAAGACUGAAACUCAAAGGAAUUGACGGGGGCCCGCACAAGCGGUGGAGCAUGUGGUUUAAUUCGAAGCAACGCGAAGAACCUUACCAGGUCUUGACAUCCUUUGACCACUCUAGAGAUAGAGCUUUCCCUUCGGGGACAAAGUGACAGGUGG
rnacentral:rRNA from 1 species